UACGUAGGGUGCAAGCGUUAUUCGGAAUUACUGGGCGUAAAGCGUGCGUAGGCGGCUUUGUAAGUCAGAUGUGAAAUCCCCGGGCUCAACCUGGGAACUGCAUUUGUGACUGCAAGGCUAGAGUACGGUAGAGGGGGGUGGAAUUCCGCGUGUAGCGGUGAAAUGCGUAGAUAUGCGGAGGAACACCGAUGGCGAAGGCAAUCCCCUGGACCUGUACUGACGCUCAUGCACGAAAGCGUGGGGAGCAAACAGG
rnacentral:rRNA from 1 species